GUGAGGAAUAUUCGACAAUGGGCGCAAGCCUGAUCCAGCCAUGCCGCGUGCAGGAAGACGCAUCUAUGGUGUGUAAACUGCUUUUGUACGGGAAGAAACACUCCCUCGUGAGGGAGCUUGACGGUACCGUAAGAAUAAGGAUCGGCUAACUCCGUGCCAGCAGCCGCGGUAAUACGGAGGAUCCAAGCGUUAUCCGGAAUCAUUGGGUUUAAAGGGUCCGUAGGCGGUUUAAUAAGUCAGUGGUGAAAGCCCAUCGCUCAACGAUGGAACGGCCAUUGAUACUGUUAGACUUGAAUUACAAGGAAGUAACUAGAAUAUGUAGUGUAGUGGUGAAAUGCUUAGAUAUUGGGAGGAACACCAGUGGCGAAGGCGGCCUGCUGGACAUUAACUGACGCUGAGGCGCGAAAGCGUGGGGAGCAAACAGGAUUAGAAACCCGGGUAGUCC
rnacentral:rRNA from 1 species